CGGUCUCACCUAAGCAAGCGUAAGUGAGCCGCUUUGUGUAGCUAAAAGGUAGAAUCGGAUGGGUGGGAGAAAAACACCUCGGAAGCUCGUCCGCUUAGAAGAGGGAAAUCCACGGAAUAGAAGAAUUCGGUACACCUUGAGAGCACAAAUUUUUCGUGUGCAGAGCUAUUUUUAGUGGCCACAUUCGCCAUUCCCUUCGGAGAGGUGUGCGCGAAGCGUACGAGACACGGAAGGCAGCAAAAAAACACCUUAACUGCUUCUAAACACGGUAAACAUUUCGGUCUUUUUAAAACUGCGAUGAUGCCACCGGGACCUGGCGUGGACCGCUCCAAACUCCACGAACUCGAAAAGUCAAAUAUUCGCUCCACUAACAUCAACCAGGAACGCGGAAUGUUCUAUUUUCGAUCACUUCUUUGGGCAGCACAGGCGGCAAUAGGCCGGAACCGGUUCACAGCGAUCGUAUCGCCGGAGUGGACGAUGAGAUAAUUUGACGGCCAUUAGAAUCGAUAAAAGGUGAUCAAAAUUCAAUUUAAGGAAUUUCUGUAGGAAUUUCAUGUUUACAUUGCGACUCCUAAAUGUAUGCAAAGGAGCACAUUCAUGCGUUUUUUUAACUAUUUCUUCUGUGCUUUGUGGUAUGCUUUAGCAUAAAUUUUAUGGUACAUGUAGGACUAUCGGAUGAACUUUGUUUUACCCGCACCCUUUAUCAUAGAGCUUUAAAAUCAUAUUUGUUUCAAGGACUAAAUAAACAGGCAAUCAAACAUAAAUGCUUGGAAGUAUGAAGUUAUGUUAUAUCAGGCCCUACAGCUGUGUAAUAGUUUGAAGAAGGCCAUAAAAUAGAGAUUGGGAAAAAAAUCCUAAACAAAAGAGAUGUAUUGAGAAGAUAUGUCACUUAAUACCUCAGUGUAUGCAAACCAAACAUAUUUUUCAAACAUAUUUUUAGUUGUGAGCAUACUACAGCUUCUAUACAAUCACUUGAAAGGGCCCUCUUUAUGGAGAUACAGUAUUGAUAAUUAUAAGAAAUUAUAGACAGUUUGAUUGUAUCCUCCUCAAUUUAAUAACUUUUUUAUUUCUAAACCCAAUAGCUAUUUACAUAUACUACAGAAAACGUUAAUUGAUGAGAACAAGGUUGAACAUGAAAAAUACGUCACAUUACUCCUCAAAGUAGGCAAAAUAGCAUACUUAAACUUAACAUAAAGAUGGUACUAAGCUUGUCUUAGUGUAUUUUUAUUUUUGAAAGUACUUUUGAAGAGCCUUCGUAUUGUUUCAAUUUAAUAAAAAACAAUAAUACAGCCGGGUGGUCAUUUCAAAAACAUAAGAAAAAAAUGACAAGCUAUUUUUAAAGCUCUUAAAAUCAAAACUAAAUAGUUCUUAACCCCGCUACAGUUCAAUCUAAGCUAUCAAAAAUACCGGAUUCGUGGUGAAUAUUCGGUCCAGCGAGCUUCUCUACGCCAAGCACGCUACAGGUGAACGCAGACCCAUCGGUCAACAGGUUCGUCAACGCCUCAUCUCCUUCCCGUCCCGAGCCAAGUGCCAAGUCAACCGUUCGCGUACGACGACUGCUUAACCGUUUUGGCCGUAGCUGAGUCGGUGGGUUCUCGAAAAAAUUGGAGCCCCACUAAAAAUACAUCUCCGGUCUCAUCUGCCAAAAAUAGUUCCGCAGGAGAAAAUUCUUCACCGCCAACGGUAUGACCCACCGGCAGCGAUACCGGGUCUUUGGCGUGCUCGCUCUCUCUCUCUCUCUCGCCACUCUCUUUUGCUACGAUUCCUUGCCACUGUGCAACUAACUCAUCCACAAUUUUCCUCCCACUUGCACAAAACCAACUUUAAAUGGAACGCAGCGAUCGAAAUGCGCGGAAGAAAAAUCACCUCUCAUUAAUAUGCAUUUUUCACUCACGGGAUGAUCAAUCGUGAUGAUCGCCGUGGGUUAGAAAAACGGAGUAAAAGAUCCAGUCCGAAGAAGCUAAACAAUUUUUCUGUCCGGAAUGGACGAUUAUCCACUACAACAUUUGCCAGAUGCGGCUGAGUGACCUAAGGUGCCGUUUGGCCUCCAAAAACCUAACAACCCGCUGCAGUUGAAGCGAUAAUUUUAUCUCCGCAUUACUUUGCGACACAUUUUAUAUGGCAGCAGUAAACCUCGCUGGAACAUUAUCAUAAAUUUAGUGCCCAUCAUCGUCCCAAUCACUCAAUUUCGUAACGGGGUCGGCGAUUUGCUCACGUGGAGACACAUCUUUUCCUACGCGGUAUGAAUCACCGGCACAAACAGGAGGAAAAUAACCAUUGUAAUGCAGCCAACCGUCCAAAGCUGACAAAUAACAACAGAUGAGUAACAGACAUAUGGGCAAGGUGUCACAUGGAACUGUUUAACCCUGUAGAUAAAGUCGUUUUACUGUUCUCUCGACGAUGUUCUUUGGUUCAUUUGUCAACCGUGAACUUUAUGGUUCGAUUACUGGACUCAUUCAAUUUUUAUAUUUGUUGUGUACCUUGCCUUAGUUUUCAUGUAUUUCCCUUCUUUGCAAACACGCUAGUAAUGAAGCUUUCGUUCCUCAUAAUAGUUUAUCA